rfam:Lepisosteus oculatus contig043026, whole genome shotgun sequence.
ACCAGCAGCUGUAUCACACUGCAACUCCCAGCUGGCCACCUACUGAAGCUCAGCAGGCGAGAGCCUGGUCAGUACCUGGAUGGGAGAGCUCCUGUGAAAGCUAAGGUUGCUGCUGGAA